AUGGAAUGCUGGAAACGAGAUGCCAUAUUUUGCCGCUCUAGCAAGGGACUGAGAAAUUGAUGACAUUGCUGAAACUGGGCUAGGGCUACAGGGGCUAAACAGAUGAACUGAUAUGGCUUCAACUCCCUUUUUCUGAAUCGCUCUCCAUUAUUAGCAUAAAUAUUAAAUGAUCACUAAUGAUCUAGCAGAUUAUACCCAAAGCACAC